GAUGAACGCUGGCGGCGUGCCUAAUACAUGCAAGUCGAACGGGGAGUAGCCAUUCACUUCUUGGCGACCGAGUGAGUAAAGCUUUGGUACCUGCGCCGGAGCAAGGCAUAACGGACCGAGAGCUCCGCUGAGGCCCCAUGUGCGCGAUAUCUAGUAAAAAUGAAAACCACUAUACUAGGGCCCUGCGUCCGAUGAGCCAGUUGGUACGGUAAGAGCCUACCAAGGCGAUGACGGGUAGCGGACCGGAGAGGAUGAACCGCCACAAUGGGACUGAGACACGGCCCAAACGCCUACGGGAGGCAGCAGUGGGGGAUAUUGCACAAGGGGGCGAACCCUAACGCAGCGACGCCGGGGGAGUGAAGAAGUAUUUCGGUAUGUAAGGCCUUAUCAGCAGGGAAAAUAAUGACGGUACCGGAAGAAGAAGCCCCGGCUAACUACGUG
rnacentral:rRNA from 1 species